GAUGAACGCUGGCGGCGUGCCUAAUACAUGCAAGUCGAGCGAAAAGAUGCUGCUUUCGCUGUUCUCACGUUGCCAACGGACGGGUAACACAUACGUGGUCUACCCAGCUCUUCGAGUUAAGUAACUGCGACUAACCGGAGUACCUAACGGAUGAUAUAUUUAGCGUGAUGGUUGAAUAGUGAAAGAGGGUUAUGCUGUCACCUAUAGCUGUAACCGCGCCGCAGUAGCUAGUUGGUACGGUAACGGCUUCCCAAGGCCACCAUGCGUAGCCGACCUGAGAGGGUGUAGCGCCACACUGGGACUGAGACACGGUCCAGACUCCUACGGGAGGCAGCAGUAGGGAAUCGUCGGCGAUGGGCGAAAGCCUGACGGAGCAGCGCCGCGUGGGUGAAGAGGGUCUUCGGAUCGGAAAACUCUGUUAUUGGUGAAGACCAAUUGUGUAAGUAACGAUGCACGUCGUGACGGUACCUAGUCAGAAAGCCACGGCUAACUACGUG
rnacentral:rRNA from 1 species